AUGAAAAUAGGACACAACUUACCCAAAUCUCUGGAAUGCAGCUAAAGCAGUGUUAAAAGGAAAGUUUAUAGCACUAAAUGUCUUCAUCAGGAAAAUAGAAAGAUCUCUAAUUAACAACAAACAUUAUAUCUAAAGGAGCUAGAAAGAAAAGAAUAAACCAACCCCAAAGCUAGCAAAAGAAAAGAAAUAACUAAAAUUAGAAACUUUUCAUUUGUUUUUUUAAAAAAUAAUGUCUAUCUCAUUAUUUAUAUUCUUUUUUUUAGCAGGGCUCUAUCUUCCUCAUCACUGUUAAGCCAUUUUUUUUUUUCUAUUAGUUUCAUACCAAGAUUUUAUGUUACACUAAUGGAUGGAUGAUUUCUCUAUUGUUUUAGACAAUGCACUUAGGGGCAUAAAUUGUUCCACAGUGUGAUGUUUGGGCACUUUUUCAGGAAUAGAUUUUGCAUUUUAUCCUUAUUCCAAAAGGGUUCCUUUUAUCUUUUCUUCUGGUUGUCUUUGGUAAACUAGUUGACUUUCAAUGUAGCUUGUUUUCUAAUGGAUUAUCAAUCUCCUCUUAAUUUCUUACCUUCAAAAUAGCCAUUGCAUUUGAGAGAGAUAUUAGAUUUAAAAUUUUUUACACUCUGUUGUAAAUGAAGUAAAUACUUUUAAGAAGAGUUUUGGA
rnacentral:lncRNA from 1 species